ensembl:lncRNA
UGAGCUAACACAGCCGUGUUUACAUUACACACAUUCUCAAGUUGCUGACUUUUUUUUUUUGUUCCUCCAUAAGGAAGAAGAUGCAACACAGACAAAUGAUUCUAUUUGAUGUGAUGUUAAGUCAAACUGGACCAAUGGCUGACACUUUCUACUUGGAUUAACUACGUUGUGUUCCCAUUCUUUCCAGUCAUGCUCGUUUCUUAUCAAAGUUGAAGAAACCAGUAAUUUCAGAAGAUCUGAUCUUAAAAAAAAGUCUUUCCCACCAGUCUUUUAAGCUGGCUAGAGUUUUGAAAGGCUAAGAAGCCAAUGGACUCCUUGAAUGCUAAGAACACCGCCUGAGUCCUUGGUUGUCUCCAAAUGGGAGCUGCCACUGUCAGGUUACAAAAUAGAGGAUCCUGGAAUUCCCCACAACAAUGACUCUAUCACAUGGGGGAAAUUAUUUAUGAAAAAGAAAAGAAGAAGGAUAUACACAAGGAGAAGCAGAGUUAGAGAUUCUAGGGAAGUUCUCAGAAUGUUGAGUAUCUGGGUCUAGUUGUUUAUAAAGUUCCUGUUCUGUCUCCAUCCUUUCUGAUCCUGUUGAUGUCAUUUGAUUUGGAUAUUUGUUACUUAUAAUGAAAAUGUCUUCACACAAAAGGUAAAGGAGAGGGAAUCCUGGGAGACGCCCUGUGAAUACUCCAGGUAGAGCAUUGGCAGUGAGCCCUCCAUAGAAAAGCAAUAUUGGUUCCCCAUCAGUAAUAGAAGAAAGCACAGAGCACAGCUCCUGGUGGAAGUAAUCACACCUACCCAAGUGUGGCCAGGGGUCCUGUGUGUCCACCAUCUGUGCUAAGAUGAAGCUUUCAGCUGUAACUCAGUUAUAAUGCCUUCUUUUUCCUGACUCCAUAUGCUAGUUAUCUGGGUUGGUAAUCUAUUGCUGGGUUGUGUGGGGUUCCCCCCCCCGCUUUAAUAUGUUUACAUGUAUGGAGUUUCUUCUAUUAGUUUCUGCAAGAUGCAGACCAGGUUUUCACAAAUCCCAACUUAAAUCCUGAAUCUGGAGCCAAGGUCAGGUAACUUUACCAACCUUAUUAUGUGCUGGGCACUGUAAUUUGCAUACAUUGCCUCAUUUAAUCCAUUUAAGGUUUUUAUGAGGUAGGUACUGAUAUUCCAACUAUUUUACAGAAGGAGAAACAGGUGAGGAAGGGUCAUAGAGCUAAAAAGCGCUGGUAUCAUAAUUGAAACCCAAGCAAUCUCAUCCUUAUCUGUAUUGUUAGGCUAUGAAUAAAGUACCAGACAGUAGCCCUGAGAAAGUACUAGGCUUCUUGAGCUUAGUUACCAGCAAAGCCCCCAUUCUAACCUCAUCCAUUCUGUUGCAUUCCCCGUGACCAUCCUUAAUCUAGUUUGAGCUGUUAUAUUUUUUUGGCUAUUUUCAACUUCCAAUCCCAGAAAGCUUGACUAAGAAGAGAACGGAAGAAGACUUUGGGAGGCUUGUAUGCAUACUUAAGGUGGAGAGGUGAGCACCAGCUGCAAGGCAAAAGAAGGGAGAUUUCUUCCUGUGAGUGACUAGGUGGGGCAAGAUGGAAGACCUCUAAGGACCUUAUGCAUGUCAGGAGGUGGCUGAAAUUCCCUGACAGCUCAGAACAGUUUGCUUAACGUAACUUUGCUGUCAGAAAAGAAGAAAAUUUGAGAAAGUAUUUGAAGAGUAUUCCCAACUCAGUAGGUGAGUAGAAGCUGUGAACUAAGGGGAGGAAAUUAUGUAUACAUGCAUUAAAACAUUACAUUGUAUCCAUACAUAUGUGCCAUUAUUAUGUAUCAAUUAUUAAAAAAACUAAAGCUUUUAAAAAAGGAGAAAAUAAAUGUGAAUAAAUACUUUACCUUCAUGAGAACAAUGAGUGAAGAAACAGGAAUUUGACAACAGAACUCUAAGGAAAAAGGAAAAGGAAAGUGAUGAAGUGAUAAGGGAAGUAUAGCAGUAUGGAAACUAGAUCUUAGAGACCAAAGUAUGCACAGUAAACAUUCCAAUAAAGAGAAAACAGUGAAGAUUUGGCAAGGAGAAACAUCAAUAAAUGAUAGAAGAAAACUGCUGGGUAAUAAAGAUGGUAAGGAAACAGAAAAGAAAAAAUGACAGAAAGAAGGACUCCUAUGACAGAUUUACAUUACAAGGAAAAAAAUCACUCAGAUUCGUUUAAAGUAAAUUGAAUGUUGAUAAGAGACCUAAUCAAGGCAAAAGGACAAAUGGAUUAAACAUAAAAUAAUGGCCAGCAAUAUAUUAGAAAACAACAUACCGAAAGAAAUCAGUUAGCUGACCUAGAGCUCAGAUAAAGUGGAAAAUGAGACAAAACACUUUUUCACCCAUGUCUGUUCACCCCUAGGCCAAAAGCUUUCAAGCAGGUCAUUCCAAAGGGUCAAAGAAUCCAUUUGUAAUGAAAAUAUGGGAUCAUGAAUUUGUAUGUUGUGAAUACUGCUCCAACUUAGAAAUCAGAGGACAAAUUAACAACAAAGCUGUGCUAGAUUUGAAUAUAGCACUAUGAAUUUAUUACAGUUUAAGUAGACAAUAAUAAUAAAAUGAAAUAGGAAAACAUGAGUAAGUACCGAGGGAACUAGGGUAAGGAACAAGUUGAAUUUUUAUGUUAGUGAUCCUCUUUAUGUGCUUACAGAUAAGGCAUCUUCUUUUCAAGUGUCCUUAGAAUGCUCAUAAACAUCGAAUUACCCCAUUCUGUGCCAUAAAGAACAUCUCCAUAAGAACACCCCCAAGGACCAAACAGAAAGUGUACUGACUACAGCGUCUGACCCAAAAGCUUUAAUGAAAAAUAACUCAUAAAACACUGAGUUAUUAGACAAGGCCCUCGGUGAACUCCUCGCCUCUCUGUGCAGACUGUCACGGUCUUGGCUUAGAGGACAGGAGUUUUGUACUUUGUGCUGUUGUAAUUUUCACAACAAGGGGAACAAUAUGAAAUAAUAGACCCCAGCAGGGGAGCACAGAAAUUUACUGCAGGCAACUUUAUGUUAGCUUUUAAAAAGAAGGAAAUAUAUCAAUGAUUAAAAAAAUAGAACUAUGGAGGCAGAAAGGAUGUUAAGCCAUCAUUCUGUCUGACUCUCAUCUUGCAGAAGAGGAAAUAGAGACCUAGCGACUGCGAGGAUGUGUGUCCCAGGUCGGGCAGCAAAUAAAAUUUGGCCAGUGCCUGAGUCUCCUGGUGGGUUCUAAGUUCUGUUCCUUUCCCUGCUUUAGGAGUUUGUCAUGAUGCGAGGAUGCAGAGUAUGUGGCGGGUUUGGAUUACGUGAUUGGUUCCAGAUCUGAGUGACUGUUGUGUGCUCAUCUGCCCGGCAGAACUGAGACUGGCUCCCCAGGGCACUUCUUGGAGCCAGAGCCUCUGCCCCUGUUGUGAGGGGAGUCAGAGCAAUGUGGUUGUUAUUACCAGAAUCACAGGCUUUCCACCUCUGCUGGGUAACCUGCGAAACAACCUCUGACAUCAUUAAACGCUGAAAUCGCUGGACUGUAAACGUGUGUUAGGGGGUGUUUUCUGGAACGCUCUCAUGACCUCUUUUUGUCGAGGCUCAUUUUGUUUUUAUUCUUCCCCAGGAUCUGACUGGCCUCUCACGCUUUCUGUCCUCCAUCACCAGCACCCGGG